AGCGAACGCUGGCGGCAGGCCUAACACAUGCAAGUCGAACGAACUCUUCGGAGUUAGUGGCGGACGGGUGAGUAACACGUGGGAACGUGCCUUUAGGUUCGGAAUAACUCAGGGAAACUUGUGCUAAUACCGAAUGUGCCCUUCGGGGAAAGAUUUAUCGCCUUUAGAGCGGCCCGCGUCUGGAUUAGGCUAGUUGGUGAGGUAAAGGCUCACCAAGGCUACGAUCAGUAGCUGGUCUGAGAGGAUGACCAGCCACAUUGGGACUGAGACACGGGCCCAAACUCCUACGGGAGGCAGCAGUGGGGAAUCUUGCGCAAUGGGCGAAAGCCUGACGCAGCCAUGCCGCGUGGAUGAUGAAGGUCUUAGGAUUGUAAAAUCCUUUCACCGGUGAAGAUAAUGACUGUAGCCGGAGAAGAGCCCCGGCUAACUUCGUGCCAGCAGUCCGCGGUAAAGUAUCGUACG
rnacentral:rRNA from 1 species